rnacentral:rRNA from 1 species
UACGUAGGGGGCAAGCGUUGUCCGGAUUUAUUGGGCGUAAAGAGCGUGUAGGCGGCCUGGUAGGUCAGCUGUGAAAACUCGAGGCUCAACCUCGAGACGUCGGUUGAAACCACCUGGCUAGAGUCCGGAAGAGGAGAGUGGAAUUCCCGGUGUAGCGGUGAAAUGCGCAGAUAUCGGGAAGAACACCCGUGGCGAAGGCGGCUCUCUGGGACGGUACUGACGCUGAGACGCGAAAGCGUGGGGAGCAAACAGGG